rnacentral:snoRNA from 1 species
GAGCAGUGACGAAAGCUGCGCUCUUUGUGGUGAUUGGGUUGCCACAGUCUGCCUGAUCUUUGAUCGGACGAAAACAGCGCAUCUGAGCUC